UCCGGUUUAACACCGGCGGUCUCCUUAGAGUGCCCAACUGAAUGGUGGCAACUAAGGACAAGGGUUGCGCUCGUUAAGGGACUUAACCCGACAUCUCACGAUACGAGCUGACGACAGCCAUGCAGCACCUGUACUCCCAGUCUCCGAAGAGAAAGCUCUAUCUCUAGAGCGGUCCGGGGAUUUCAAACCCAGGUAAGGUUCUUCGCGUUGCAUCGAAUUGAACCACAUGCUCCACCGCUUGUGCGGGCCCCCGUCAAUUCCUUUGAGUUUUAAUCUUGCGACCGUACUUCCCAGGCGGGGUACUUAAUGCGUUAGCUUCGGCACUGCAGGGGUCAAUACCCGCAACACCUAGUACCCAUCGUUUACAGCGUGGACUAC
rnacentral:misc_RNA from 1 species